rnacentral:lncRNA from 1 species
AUUACGAGAAUACAUUUAGCGUGUUACCUACGUUUUAGAGGCGCGUAGCAAGAGCUUCUCUGAAAGACUGGCAGUAUAGUAGUAGUCAGUGAUAAUAUUGAGCCUUAAUAUGUUCCAGACACUGUCCUAAGUGAUUUACCUUACAUUAUUCCCCUGAAUGUUUAUAAUUCCCAAGUGAAAGAAGGAAAUGAUAUAUUGGAUAGCUAUGAGUGGGGAGGUUUGUACUGGCUGCUUUCCCAUAAAGAAAUUAAGCACGUUCACGAAGGGCACGUAGUUUGUUAGUGUCUGGAACCCAGUUUUCGUGCCUGAAGUUCAAAUGUUCUUGCUACACCACCAUAGAAACUAACGUCACUCAGGAACCAUUUGUCAGGGCAAAGGGUGCCACCAUUUUGCAUUUCCUCCUGCCUUAGGACCAUCCUAAAUCACUCGCAUGGAGUGUUUUGGAAGAACUCUCAAGAGCUUCGUUUGCCUAGAGUCAGAAUUCCUAACCUUGAGUCCUGGUUUUGCCACAAACCCAAGCCGUUUGAUCUUGGGCAACUCCCGAAGAAAGCUGGGUUCAACUUCCUCACUGUCAAACUGGUUGUAGGUCUAGAUAAGUUUCAAGUACUCUUUUUAUGUGCAUGGUCUCUGACAUAGGAAGACUACAUACUGGGCCAGUAACAGGAAGGCACAAAGCUGACUGGAGGUUUAAAAAUUACUUGGUCAAUUUGAUUAAUGAGGAGAAUGAAUCAGAAAAUUUCAAGUUCUCCCGUGGCUAACUGUCGAGUAUCCACUUCAAGGUCAGUCCACUGGACAUUUUCCAUGCCAAAUAGAAAUCCACAUUCAGCUGGAAUCAUUCCAUCGGAAAGAGGUCGAAAAUGUACAGUAGGCAUGCACAAAGGAUACCGCCUGGAAAGAAGGUAAAACUGGAAAACAGGAGGGAGGCGGGGCCCAAUUUUGGCUUCUCCUUCCG